rnacentral:lncRNA from 1 species
GGGAUGUGGUUUAAGGGUUAUUGGGUUACAGCACUCAAGUUUUAAAAAUGUUUGAGCCAAAUUGCCAAAUCAUGUGUCAGUCCAUUGAAAUAAUUAUUAAGUAUUACUUCAUAUUUUUAUUAAUAAAAUUCAUAUUAUUUAAUUUUUAUUAAUUAUUAUUCAUGAUGAAUUAUGAUUGAUUGUAAAAUAAAAAAUAGUCAAUC